AUACGGAGGGAGCGAGCGUUAAUCGGAAUUACUGGGCGUAAAGCGCGCGUAGGCGGCUUUGUCAGUCGGAUGUGAAAGCCCUGGGCUCAACCUGGGAAUGGCAUUCGAUACUGCAGAGCUAGAGUAUGGUAGAGGGAAGUGGAAUUUCCGGUGUAGCGGUGAAAUGCGUAGAUAUCGGAAGGAACACCAGUGGCGAAGGCGACUUCCUGGGCCAAUACUGACGCUGAGGCGCGAAAGCUAGGGGAGCAAACAGGAGUAGAAACCCCAGUAGUCC
rnacentral:rRNA from 1 species